rnacentral:rRNA from 1 species
GACGAACGCUGGCGGCGUGCUUAACACAUGCGAGUCGAACGGAAAGGCCCUGCUUUUGUGGGGUGCUCGAGUGGCGAACGGGUGAGUAACACGUGAGUAACCUGCCCUUGACUUUGGGAUAACUUCAGGAAACUGGGGCUAAUACCGGAUAGGAGCUCCUGCUGCAUGGUGGGGGUUGGAAAGUUUCGGCGGUUGGGGAUGGACUCGCGGCUUAUCAGCUUGUUGGUGGGGUAGUGGCUUACCAAGGCUUUGCCGGGUAGCCGGCCUGAGAGGGUGACCGGCCACAUUGGGACUGAGAUACGGCCCAGACUCCUACGGGAGGCAGCAGUGGGGAAUAUUGCACAAUGGGCGGAAGCCUGAUGCAGCAACGCCGCGUGCGGGAUGACGGCCUUCGGGUUGUAAACCGCUUUCGCCUGUGACGAAGCGUGAGUGACGGUAAUGGGUAAAGAAGCACCGGCUAACUACGUG